UUUAUCCCUCUCACCCUUCUUUCUUUCUCCACGUCAUUCCUCCCCCUCCCUACUGCCGCUCCUGCGCUCCCUCCGUCCAGCCACCGCACCACCCCCGAGAUAGCAACGGCGACUCCUCCGUGAAGCAUGUAACACACGCCCCCAACCGGAACUCCUUACUCCUACUAAAUUAACUUAAUUUUAGGACAUAUGCUCUAACCCACAUCCACACAAUUAUCAAAAUAGUUGUAAAUUAGAGGCGAACCUGGUGCGAGCAGGCAAAAAAGGCAUGGUUGAGUAAGCAAGUAAAAGAGUUUUUGUUGACGUGUACAGGUAGUGUACGCGUAUUUCAUAAUUUAAGCUUAAGAAAAUAUUUGGAAUAUAUGAGACUUCUUAAAUUCUAUGUGACAAUGUGGAAUAGUUGAAUAGUGAUCAAAGUUUUUGUGGAGUGUUUAAUUUAAUGUGAUAUGAUAUGAACAAGGAUAUUGAAAGGUAAGAUGGUGGAGAUUGUCGGUUUCAUAUAUUGAAUAUAUUGAAAUUGUGAAUAGGCAUAUGAUAUGCAAAGUGAUUUAAAGGAUUAUGCGUGUUGAGCAAUGUGAAAAGAGAUAGUUGGCAUGCCAUAGGACAGCAGUACUGCACACAUGGUUGAUCAUUCGUCUUCUGGAUAACCGAAGCGAUGAUCCAUAUGAUAUGUUGAUAGAGAGUAUGUGCCCUAUAUGGGUUAUAUGUGACAGAUGUCUUAUGAUAGGCCAUAUGGGAGAUGUACAACAUCUGAUAGUAUCCGAUACAAAUGUAUAUGACAGAUGCCCUCAUCGGGCUACUUAUAGUGUCUGUGUACUCGUGUCCACCACUAAGCAGAACUAGGGGUUGAAUGUGUUAUCUAUUUGAGAAACAAUAGUUGUUCUUUAACAUUAAUUAAAUGGUUAUGAUUAUCUUGUAGUA